rnacentral:rRNA from 1 species
GACGAACGCUGGCGGCGUGCUUAACACAUGCAAGUCGAACGGAAAGGCCCUGCUUUUGUGGGGUGCUCGAGUGGCGAACGGGUGUGUAACACGUGAGUAACCUGCCCUUGACUUUGGGAUAACUUCAGGAAACUGGGGCUAAUACCGGAUAGGAGCUCCUGCUGCAUGGUGGGGUUUGGAAAGUUUCGGCGGUUGGGGCUGGACUCGCGGCUUAUCAGCUUGUUGGUUGGGUAGUGGCUUACCAAGGCUUUGACGGGUAGCCGGCCUGAGAGGGUGACCGGCCACAUUGGGACUGAGAUACGGACCAGACUCCUACGGGAGGCAGCAGUGGGGAAUAUGGCACAAUGGGCGGAAGCCUGAGGCAGAAACGCCGCGUGCGGGAUGACGGCCUUCGGGUUGUAAACCGCUUUCGCCUGUGACGAAGCGUGAGUGACGGUAAUGGGUAAAGAAGCACCGGCUAACUACGUG